rnacentral:rRNA from 1 species
AUCAUUCAGUUGGGCACUCUAGCGAGACUGCCGGUAUAACCGGGGAAGUGGGAUGACGUCAAUCAUCAUGCCCCUUAUGACCUGGGCUACACACGUGCUACAAUGGUUGGUACAACGAGUUGCGAGUCGGUGACGGCGAGCUAAUCUCUUAAAGCCAAUCUCAGUUCGGAUUGUAGGCUGCAACUCGCCUACAUGAAGUCGGAAUCGCUAGUAAUCGCGGAUCAGCACGCCGCGGUGAAUACGUUCCCGGGUCUU